AUGAACGCUGGCGGCGUGCCUAAUACAUGCAAGUCGAGCGAACAGAUCAGGAGCUUGCUCCUUUGACGUUAGCGGCGGACGGGUGAGUAACACGUGGGUAACCUACCUAUAAGACUGGGAUAACUUCGGGAAACCGGAGCUAAUACCGGAUAACAUUUGGAACCGCAUGGUUCUAAAGUGAAAGAUGGUUUUGCUAUCACUUAUAGAUGGACCCGCGCCGUAUUAGCUAGUUGGUAAGGUAACGGCUUACCAAGGCAACGAUACGUAGCCGACCUGAGAGGGUGAUCGGCCACACUGGAACUGAGACACGGUCCAGACUCCUACGGGAGGCAGCAGUAGGGAAUCUCCCGCAAUGGGCGAAAGCCUGACGGAGCAACGCCGCGUGAGUGAUGAAGGGUUUCGGCUCGUAAAACUCUGUUAUUAGGGAAGAACAAACGUGUAAGUAACUGUGCACGUCUUGACGGUACCUAAUCAGAAAGCCACGGCUAACUACGUG
rnacentral:rRNA from 1 species